rnacentral:rRNA from 1 species
GAUGAACGCUAGCUACAGGCUUAACACAUGCAAGUCGAGGGGCAGCACAAGGCAGCAAUGCUGAGGUGGCGACCGGCGCACGGGUGCGUAACGCGUAUCCAACCUUCCCGUUACUCAAUUAAAGAAUUUCGGAAACGGAUAGGCUCGCGUGACAUUAGCUAGAUGGCGGGGUAACGGCCCACCAUGGCGACGAUGUCUAGGGGUUCUGAGAGGAAGGUCCCCCACACUGGAACUGAGACACGGUCCAGACUCCUACGGGAGGCAGCAGUGAGGAAUAUUGGUCAAUGGUCUGACGACUGAACCAGCCAUGCCGCGUGAAGGUGACGGCCCUAUGGGUCUUAAACUUCUUUUGUAAGGGAGCAAUAAGGUGUACGUGUACAUCGAUGAGAGUACCUUACGAAUAAGCAUCGGCUAACUCCGUG